UUUUUUUUAAAUAUGAUUGUUGUUAUUCUAUCUUUGCACUUUCACUUUGCCUUAGUUGCAGGAUCUUUCAUGAGAAUGGGGGCAAAAUAAGGCUGGAGACCCAGAUAAAUAUUCAUGGCAAAGUGAGACUGAAAUAGUCUUUGUAGCUCUCAGACUUUAUUGACUCUUUGAUCAGGCACGAGGAAAAAAAAAGUCUGAUCAUAUCAUCACCUGCUAAGCAGAAAUUCACGGAUAACACACAGGGAUUCGGUAGCAUAGUGACUCGGUAGCACAACCUCUGUACUAUAUAUGGAGCAACUCUAAAUAGGUAACCGAUCUAAGUACACAGGGGCAAUUGUUUAUAUCCUAUUGAACCUGGGUACUAAGCACCAUAACAGAGAUAGUUAGUUUAUUUCCUAUUGAAUAUCUGCAGCAAGCACCAAAACAGACAAACGCAUGGAUAGAUAGAAAUCAAUUUUAAAAUGCAUAGAUAAAUAGACAGGGAGACAGUUGCUUCUAUACAAAUAUACACAUAUAUAUAUAUACACAAGUCUGAGAUAGGGACUUAUACACAUAUAGUCAAACUAAGCAGAAACAUGGGGACAAAGAUGCAUACAAAACUAUACACAGGAUUAAUUGCAGCAGCUUUCCCCCUCCACACACACUUUUUCAUGUUGCCACAUGCACACCCCUUCUGCCGCAGAAAUAAUAUAUGUCUCUAAAGCCGCAGGUGCUGAGAUGAUUGGAAAGUUGUAAAAAGCACCUAGACUUGACACUGUCCUGUUUAUAAACCUGGAAUAUAAUAAGAUUCCACCAACAAAGAUGCGCGCCUGGUCAAUUUCAAAGGCAGGCUGUAGAAUUCCAAUUGAUCAUGAUGUAGCAAUAUACACCCUUAACUUAAAUAGUGAUCGAGGGGGAGACAGAAAGAAAGGGGUUGUGGGAAGGGACCUUUUACAGUUAAAAUGUGGAGAGCUGCCUUAUGAUUUCCAAAUAACUCGGACAUUAGGGGUCACACAUUUUGGUUGAGAAUAUAAAACAUAGUUGUUGAAUGUAGUUUAUGUGGCAUGUCUUGGAAAAGGUUUCCUCUCUCAAAUCUUAUAAAGUAUACAGGGAUAAUUCAUCAACUAAAAUCAUUAACAUCUUCUUAACAAGUGCAGAAAGAGCGUUUAUUUUUUUUAACAGCGUCCACAUUAUGAAUAGAUUAAAUAUGUCAUCUACCUAUAUAUGCUUAAAAGCUCCAGUAUAUUCGGAUUACUCAAACCAUAAUGAAGAAUACCCCAGAUUAACUAUUUGCUCUUCGAGGGAUACAACAAUACAACUAUUUAUUAGGUAGUUUACUCUUUAUUUGAAAUCACCCCUGCGAUGUAGGCUGAUGUAGAAUAGAUGAAAAUAAUGAUGAACUGCAGCUAAUUUUGCUGAAUAAUAUUUGAAAAAUGAGUGUAUCGCUGAUAGAUGAAGAUUCUACAAUGUCCUUAUCAGAGCUAAGUCAUAAUAGAACAGUUAUAUUUCGAAAGUAGGAUUGUAUUAUUAAUAAUUAUUAUUAUAUUAUUUAUUGUUAUUUACUGCAGAUGUAAAUUUAUUUUAAUGAGCGGAGGGCGGAAAGAUUUAUUUUUACUAAAAUAAAGUUUGGGAUAGCCUCCGUGUAAAUCGUUAGAAAAGGGGGAGGGGGAUCUGUUUUUCUGGAAGAAACUUGCCUAAUAGUUCUCUAAUUCUUUAUAGAUUAAAUCGCAAUAGGAAUACAGCACCGAACAAAUACCGAGUUUCACUCUGAACUCAGUGGAAAGCAGUUACGUCUAACAGAAUGCAAUGAAUUCCUCUUCUCCCUGAAUGUAGUAUGUGUGUGUUUUUCUCUUCCACCACACUGAAGUUCCAUGAAUAGGGAAAGUGGCUCCUAUUGUGUGCCUCUGAACUUCCAAGUCAAUGCAAUUUUUAACCACUGGCUUGUGGUACUUUGAAAAUCACCAGGGGCUGUCAGAGUUGGGUCCUCUGAAAAAUUUACAGUGCUAAAUCAGAGCAUAUGCUGUGAGAGAGGGGGAAAAAAUUGCUUAAGAUUGGAGCAAGUACAGUAUCUGUCUGCCCCCUAGUGUAAGUCUCUUAUCUGCCUAAAAUUCAACUUUAAAAGAAAAGGAUCUCUUAAAGGGACACGACUUUUGGCUCACGUAUGCAUACGAGAAUAAAACUUCUGUGCAUUUUAAUCUGAUUAAUUCCUAAAGAUUUAAAAUUAAUUGGCUUGGACACUCCUAGAUCAGAGAGUAAGAUUUCUGCAUCAGGGUUUCUCCCAAGCCCUGUGUUGAAUAGGUAUUUUUAAGCGGGGGGGGGGGGGAAUGGGGGGACUGGUUUGUGAUUUUUUUUUUUAAAAUGAGAAGCCAUGCCUCUCACGCUUUUGUCAGAACAGAGCAGUUUUGCUGCUUAAAGUCAGAUCUGCACCUUUUGCCGUAAAGAAGGAUAAAUAUUUGCCUUAAAGCUGCAGACCAGCUGCCAACCGCACCUUCCGAUGUAUGAAGAUAGAAAUAUGUUAACUACUGAGGCAGGUGGGUACAUUUUUGAUCAAGAGACUUCUGAUUCUGCAAUGAGGUCAGCUUGAGUGGACGCAGGCACUCAAAUGAAGUCCCAGAGGCUGGAAAGAUUUGAUGAUGAAUUUUAGCAGACAGAAUCCAUGCCCUCUGCAGCUGUGAAGCCCUGGGAAAUAAUCUACACAAAAGAAUUUCGGAAAUGAAAGCUGUCUCUGCUAUCUCCUGUUUAAUUAACACAGCCAAUUAGGUGCAAGUUCUUGUUGCCCAAUCCCCACCUUCAGCCAAGGAACAGGUAUGAGUAAUCCAUUGAAAGGAGAAAAUUAAAGACUAGAAGCUGUCAUUCCAGUCUAGAUUGUGAGACCCUCACUCAUGUUGGCCUAAUACCUUUGCUGUCCCAUCAAAAUCAAGAAGCAAGAAAUGGCAUAACUAAUGUGUACUGUCGAAAUCAAUGGAACUCCUUGGGAGCACAGUUCUACUCAAUGACGAAAGCUGCUGCAUUCUGCAUAAGUGAGUUUAGUAACCUCCAUCUUCAACUCUGGAUACUGAGAACUGCUAAGGCCCAGCCUAGAAAUGAUGAACACAUAGAUCAUUGUAGCCAGAUCCUCAUCUAAGUAGGCUAAAGGUUUGCUGUUGUGGACAUCUGAGAAAAAGUAACCAAAAGAAAGGAAAAGAAACACUGGAGAAUAAAAGUACAUUUGAAAUGGAAGAAAUCUACAUUUCAAUGAAAAUACUUUUAAGCCAUUUCAAAUGGCUGACUGAAAUAAUUACAAAGUUUGGAAAUAGAGAACAGUAGCUUUGAUAGUUUUUUCUUCUGUGAAGCAAUUAAAAUAAGCAAUUUUUCAAAUUCUAAGCAGAAAAUUGCUAAUGGCUGAACCCAAAAGCUUUCAUUUCAUUCUUGGGGUCUUUUUUCUUCUAAAAAAAGACCAAAAAAUACUAAGGUGGUUUUCUAGAUAGAUUAAUGCAUAAAACAGUUGUUAGUUGGAUGUCAUAAAAACUACAGCAGCACAGAAUAGCUAAGAUUAAGAGUCAGAUUUAAAUCAUGCAACAGUCCAGUUAAUAUCAAUGUAUAAUUAAGAAAAGCAUAAGAAGUCUGUAAUGCUGAUUUGAUGGAAAAAACCUCUAAUAGGGUUUCUUUUGGAAUUUUCCAUUUCAAUCACUCUUGUAGAUAUUUAAUGGAUUUCCUACCCUGUCUUUGGCAUUCACGGGAAUUAUCCAAAAGUUAAAAUCAAGCCCUAAAAUGGAACACAUGUAGACAAAUUAGCCUAUCUGGAGAGUGGUCUUUAUAGAAUGACAAUUUGAGCUCACGCUCAAAAUUUAGUACAAAUGUCUCAAAUCUGGAGUGAAAACCCUAUUUGCCAUAUAAUCUUAAGAAAUGUAAUACUAACCCAUUUCCUCACCUUUCUAAUCCAUCUGAAAUUCCUAACAAUUCAGAAAUAUGAAACUAUGGACUAUUAAACUUAACUAAUUAGUCUAUUUAAAUGACAAGGUUUUCUCUAGUCAUGUAUAUGAGUAGUACAUUUAGGUGGGUUUUUCCAUUGCUGGCAGAGAGAUUUAGAGCCCACAAUUCCCCAUUAAUGUCAUGGAGUUUCAUGAAUCUCCCACUCUUCACAGGAUAACUAGAUCCCUUGAAUGAAACUAAAGGGGUGGCAUCUGCCGUACCAUACAAAUCAUCAAGGAAGUUUGGCCAACUAUCUCUGUAGGACAGAUGCUGCUUUUAUGGUUGUGCCUUGAAUGUUUUGGGUACACUGAAGUUGUAAAAUUAAGGACAGUGUGUAGCUAUUUUAGCAUGUACACAACUGUCUAGCGGAGAGGAGAGAAGGACUGGCACUGGAUUAAAGCACAAUAUAUUUGUUGCCAUCACUUUAUUUUUGGCCCAAUGAAAGCUGAGGGAAUUAUCUCCAGAGUCCAGGAAGAUUGCAAACUCAAAAUAACCUGGUACCUCAGGAGCAAGCACAGAAGGGAAUCAUUUUAUAAGUCAUUAGAACAUAUUAGCCUAUAAUACACUGACUAGAGUAAAACAGGGUGCAUUAUUCCAUCUGUCUAUAUAUUCCUUUCCAAUACUAAAUCUGUCUGGAGACCUUUCAACAUUCUAUUAUUAAACACUGCCCCUUCCUUAGCAAAUAAAAAACUGACAAGAAUGGAGAUAACACCAUAGUAACAUACAACAGUGAAAGUUCUACAGUCACAUUCACCAUUACUACUUGAGUCAUCAUGGUCCAGGUCUCUUUAAAUGGUUGCUCAAAACAGAGCACUGAUGAUUCUGAGCGCAGCUUUCAAUGUAUUUAUGCAAUUCUUUGAAACAAAGUCAGUUAACUGAGUCUUUUCUAGCAACUAUUCAUAACAGAGGUAAGCUACACUGAUAAAACACGAAAAAAGGGCUUCCAAACUUGUCUGACACACACAGCAGAUAGACCCCAAAUGGAGGAGGAAACUUUCUCCACUCCUGCAAAAAAGCCAUUCAUCUUUAGAGCUCACUAUAAUUAUGUUCCAGCCCCCUCACAUGGAACCCAACGGAGAAGACUGAAAUAAACCAAUACAUCAGUUACCUAGUUACAGUAAGUCUAACAUACACAUAGAAAAGAUAGCAUUUCUUUUACUUUUUUUAUAUAUAUAUAGUGGAACUUUCAAGAUGAAUGUAACAACAACUAAGUAUCCAUGCUCACUAUAUUCCCAGCUCAUCAUUUGUUUUUGCCUCUCAUUGCAUCAUUUGUUUGUAUUUCAGACUCUUCAGGGCAAGGAUUGUCUCUUACAAUGUGUUUGUAUAGCACUUAGCACAAUGGGGUCCUGGUCCAUGAAAUGGGGCUCUGAUCCUGACUGGGUGCUUUGAGUGACCUCAUAAUAGAAAUAAAUAAUAUGAUUGGUAGAGGAUCUCUUAGUUUUCUUUGAAGGGAGAGCCUAUAGACUGGUGUUCAUGUAAUUGGAAAUUUGAAUAAAAAUAUCAAUACACUGUACAUUUUUUAAAAGCACAUGUUGAAAUUUUGGGAGGCACCCGCUAAAUUGAAAACCAAAAUAAAUAAAACCUGAAUAUCUACAGAAUAAGAUCAGCAAUAUAAUCUUCCCGCUUCACCCCACCAAUGCACCUCUACAUUGUCUUGGAGUAACCAAUUUAAGGGAUGAAGGUAAAAUUCCAUUUCCACAUCCAGGGAGAACUUAUCCCCAUCAUCAAAAUUGGCAACCUGGCUGGUUCUCUUGGCAGAGAUGUUAGGGUCACUUACGUCACUUUACCUUUUAAAAAAAGGAUAGAAUAGCCCUACCAGUUCCAGCUGGGAAUACUCCUGUGCAACUUCUACUCCAUAGUCCCAGCUGACUGGAGUGAUUGCCAUCACAUGAUCACUGUACAGCUGGCAGGAAGAGACAAAACUGCUCAUUUCCAUCUGUGACAUUUCUCAGACAGGAAGAAAGCUACAAGGCAUCAAACUGUAGGCUGAGAAGCAUCAGUGCGGCCACCUGUUAGAGAUACUGAUAAAGAGAAAACUUGGUAAAAUGUAGAGAUGUGAAGAACUGCUGGGAAUAAAAUAAACUGGUAAAGAGGAAGUGAUGGUGCCUUCUUACCACCAAUCACCAUUUACAGCUGCCAUCUGAGGUCAGAACCCAGGAGGCCAGAAACAAAUACAAGCCUCUAUGUGAAACAGAUUACAAGAGACACACUGGAGGUGUGGAAAGCACAGAUCAGCUGCUAGAGGCAUAGGACACAAUAUCUUGUACUGUUAAAAAUGGUUGGGGAAAAUGGAAGUCCAUAUGGCCCAAUUAGCAAUUCACAAUGCUUUUGCUGUAAACCAGAAAAUAGCACCUGAAAGGCUGUUGUCAUUUCUGGACUUGCAAGCAUAUGUUAUUUGCAGCCUUAUAUUUGUAAGUGCAGACCUCCCUGACUUUGAGGGGGGAAGUCACAGAACAUUGAGUCUGCUACAAGGAAAUCACAUUUCCCUUCACAUAAUGUAGUAAAUAGCAAGAGUCUGCCAAACCCAGAUUCAAAGAGAAGGGGGAAAAAUUCUUAGUUGAAAUAAGCCAUCAUAGCUCUAUUUACUAGGGGCCAGGGGGAAAGAACAAUUUCCAGCAGCUGAGGAUCUGCCCCUGGAACUUAGACUAGUGUUCUGUGGAACUCCAUGAAAUUGAAUCAAAUAUUUGCCAACAUAGAUUAAAUUUGAAAAGGUGCCCAGUUUUUCCCUGAGCAACAUAUUUGCCAGAGGAAAAGAAACUCCAGGAGGUAAGUUCCUCUUUUAAUGUGCAUAUAUAACUAACAGGAAUGGGAACUGUAUCAAGUGGAGAAUCUAUUCCUUGGGUAUUUAUUUCUUCCAGAUUAAAGCAGAAUUGUGGCUAAUAAAUUGUUGAAGUGUGAAGUGGAUUUGCACCUCUCAGAAGAUGUAGCUGGUCCAAGCCAGGGUAUCACUUUUCCUUUUAAGAUUCAAUAAAAUUUUCACAGGCCUGGCUUUAGCUAUAGGUAUGAAAUUCAAAUUUGUUUCACAGUUCUCUUGCUGCCUGCAUGGAAGUUAAAUAAACAUAUAAAGGGCCUGAUUUUCAGCCCUGAUGUCAUUGCAUAUGUAUGGGUGUGUCCAUCUGCUCACCUACGUUGUCCACACAGAACCACAUAUAUGUGUGCAAGUCUCUAAUGUGUGCACACAUAAGGCUAGAUGACUGGGCAUCCAACCACAUGUCUAGGAAUUUGUGGAAUUUGUGCUCAUGCACAGAUAUGCACCAACGCCAUGCCGGACCUCAGACCAGAUCAUUCAGAAUCUUGACACUUUCAGAAGAAACUGAUGGUUCAAGCAAUAUUCAGGUUAUUCUAUGGUGCUGGAUAGAGCUUUGAUGAUUCUCACAAAUCAUGAUACAUUUGAGAGACAGCAUGAUUAGUAUCCAGGGCACAAGACUGGGACUUGAGAUACAUGGAUGCUAUUCCCAGCUCUGCCACUGCCCUGCUGUAUGCCCAGAGUAAGUCACUUCAUCUCUCUGUGCCUCUGAUUCUCCUCCUACCCUUUGCCUGUUUUAUCUAUUGAGGGUGAGCUUUUCAAAAGCACUUGAGUGAGUUAAGAAUCAGUGCAGCUUGUGCUCCUAAUUCAUCCAGGCACUUUUACCCCACUUUUUGUGUGUCACAUCUAUUUAGAUGGCAAGUUCCUUAGUAUAAGGACGUGUUUGACUUUGUACAGUGCCUAGUACAAUGGCCAUUCUGAGAUGGGACCUCUAGGUGCUAGUGUAAUACAAAUAAUACAUAUAUUACUUUUUUUAAAAAUAGUUUAUAUUUGGGUAGAAUUUUAUGACAUAGGAACAUCUACCAUAAUGACAGCUAAGGAAUUUAAUUCUUCAUGCCUAUAUGCAAUACUUUAUUAUUUCAUAACAUGGACUGUUUUGCCAGUAUUUAUUCUGGUGGUGUGUGUACACUACAAUCUUAAAAAGGGGUAAGAUGUCUCAUAUUAUAGCAUAAUAAUGGAGUUAUACAUUCAAAUUCCUUAUAUUUUAAAAAACAUACAGUAGGAAGAGCUACCCCUGAAAAGGCGACUGAUGGAUCUAAUUUGUUAACCUGACUCUGGAAGUUGCCAAUACUUGUGCCUCAUUACUGGUAACACCUAGAUUAAUAGAGUUUAAGGUCUGAAGAGAAUAUCAGCUCAUCUAGUCUGACAUAUAUAAUACUGGCCAGAGAAUUGCAUCAUGAUUUGAGCAUAUCCUUCCAGCAAAGGAUCCAAUUUUGAUUUGAAGACUUCAUAAGAUGGAGAAUCCACCACUUCCCUUGCUAGUUUCUUCCCUCACUGGUAAAAAAUUGUGCCUUAUUUCUAAUAUGCAUUUGUCUGGAUAUAACUUCUAGCCAUUGGUUCUUAUUAUGACUGUCUCCACUAGAUUAAAUACCCCUUAAUACCCAGUAUUUUCUCCCUGGGAAGGCACAUAUGCCUUGUACACGACAUAAUGUAGUAGGACAAAUUACGCAAUUCUACUGCACCGAGGAACACAUUUAGUGCUAACUCAAUGCUGGAAAAACGUACACUCCAAAUGAUGGGAUUUGAUAUCCAUAUAAUUUUUAAAUCUAGACAGUGAUAUAGUACGCAUAUAAAUAGGUAACCCUUCCUUGAACAUCUCUAAACUACAAUUCUCUUCAAUAAUCUCCCACAGCAGUGAAUCCCGUAGGUUGUUUUCCUUCUGAUAUGGUUUUUUAAAAUAUUCUUGUCUAUCCAUUUUAAAUAUAUGCCCUUAUAAUUUCUCAACUUUCCAGCUUUUCUGAAAUGGUAGGAUAUUUUGAAGAGAUACAUCCAAUCAGUGUUCCCCACACUAUCAUGUUACAUAGCUCUGUUAACUCUCCUCUUUGUUCAGGACUAAAUCAUUUUAGGCUUCUUAAUUUCUAUACACAUAGGAUAUCAACCCCUAGCCACAAAGCCGUAAGUCGUUUCAGUUGUUCAUCUGUGGCUCUUUUCUAUAUCUCAUAUGCUGUUUUGGGGCUUUAGGGAUAAAAUGAUCAAAACCGAAAGAGAAUUUGAAGUGCAGAUUCCCAUCAAAAUUUUUGGGCCAAGUCAGUGGAACUAUGCUGAUUUACUCCUUCUGAGGAUCAGGUCCCAUAAUGCCAUCAAUGUUUUUGGUAUUGUCCAAAUAUCCCAAAGCAGCAUCCUUUCCACCCUUUUUAAUUGAGACUUUACUGUUGCUUUUCUUGAGACCAAACAGGAAUGGCGCAUACGUCUCGGUCUCUCUAUUUUUCCUGGUUGUGAUGCUUUGGGGUUCAACCCAGAUCUGAAUGGGGCUCUGUCACUCUGGGUACCUUAAAUGCUAUGCUGCAGGGCUCAAGAUCCUGACACCAACAGCCAGCAUACAAGCAUGCAGGUCAUCCCCGGCUUUCACCACCUGGCUACUUUUUUUGCAGAGUGACCCAAUACCUUCCCCAUCCCAAUUUUCCCCCAAAUUGUCUGCCAAUGUGAAAAUCUGCUGAGGUUCCCAAAACUGUAAGUUACUGUGUGAUCUCUCUCAGCCUUGGCUGAGAGCUUUACCUUUAACGCUAAUAGUGGUUUUAAUUCAAUUUAUUGAACAUAAAUAUUCUGAUAUAUCCUAAAGUUUUCAGCUUGAGACGCUGCAGUUUUGUUUGAAUGUAAUUCAGACCUAGCAACUUAUGCGGUGAGUUCAUUCCAGACAAAUAGUUAAAAAAAUCCAGUGUGUCAGAACUUCAGGCAUUGCACACUGGGGAAAGUCAUUGGCAGAAUGCAUACUUUGGAGCAUUUUUCCAUUAUCACAUGGGAUUCUUAGCCUGGGAUUGUUGUGCUUGAAAAACGCAUCUCCUUGGAGAAUCUGUUAAAGAUAUGGCAUAAGAGAGAGAUCAGAUUUCCAGUAUUCUUAGGAAUGACUUUCACAAGGGUAGAAAGAAACAUAUUUCCCAUUUUGGGAAACAGAAGCAGCCACUCUCAACAGAAAGAAAAGUUUAAGAUUGCAAAAGAAACAUCAGGUUGGAAUGUUAUGGGAGUUAUAUAUCUCUGUAGCAAUCAAUGUGGUUUGUACAGGAUGUCAGUGUAAGUGGCUAUUGAAUUAAGAGGUGUCUUUUCCCUGUAAUUUACACUACAAAUUCAGUGUAAAAAUUUCUGAUGUUUCAUCAGACUAAUUCCAUUACCUUACUGAGUGAUAGAAAUUACAUUUAUUUUCUUUAGGCUCUGAAAUACAGACAUAAUAAAUCAAUAGAAAGAAAAGG